CCUACCCUCGAGUUAGUUCUUCGUCUUCCUUCCUGUUAGUCAUGGACUCAUGGGAAUGUUCGCCGCGAUUUUGAGUCUUCGUUUUGUGCAAAACUCAAAUUAGUUCUCAGAUCAAUCGGUGCUGCAAAUUUGAUAUUAACGGAACCCAAUUGGUUAAUAAGCUGUAUCAUGUUAAAUUUUAGUGAGUUGUAUCAAUUGGUUCUCUGAUUCCCCGAAAUUUAGAGAUUUAAUUUAUUAUUUGUGUUUUAUUUUGAUUUUGAUUCAUUAUUUGUAUGAAUCUGUUAGGGGACAUCAAAAGUCAGGGAGGUAUAUUAAGCAGUUGUGGGGAGCGAUGGGGUUUACACUAAACAAAUCUUCUGUUAAAUUGUUGAAGAUAUAAAGAAGCCAUUUUCAAUCCUUAAUGGUUUAGUGGAACCAAAAACUCUGCUUCUAUUCAAAUUCCAUUCUAUCGACUUUGGUCUUAUCUUCACAGCAAUCGUUGUUUGGCCAAUGAAUUUCAACGACCUCUCAAAAAUCACUGGAUAAAAUAAAAAAGCUCAAAAGAUUUUUCACAGCAACAGAUCAUGGAGAGACACAGAGAUUUAUGAAGAGUUUAACUAGCAGUUUAUAUUUUCGUGAUAGAAGCAGCCACAAAUUAGGUUCACUUCUUUUAUAGCUUGAAGUCAUUCAUGCAUGUCUUUUAAUUUCAAUUUCAGUAGUUUGUUCUUCAACUCAUGUCAUUUUCUAUACUCCUGUUUCUGAGUUCUUAAUGAUUCGGUUGCAAUCCAACACUUUCAGAAUGUUUGAAAAGACAUUACAAGUGUUUGAAAAGACAUUGCAAUCCAACUCAUUCUUAAUUUCAGAAUGUUUGCAAUCUAACAAAGUUUCUUAGCUCCAUCCAGGAUCACUUUGACGACUGACUACCAUGUUCCCUUUGUAAGUUUCGAUUUACAUCUUUUUAACACGUGAUUUCCAUCAAAUUUAGUUGUUUCGUUUUUUACAUUACCAGUGUGCGCUCUCAUUUCCGGGUCGGUAUUACGGCGUUUCUGUUGGAGUUCUAAGCAGUAUUAGUGUGUUUAUAAGCUUUUGGUGUUUUUAUGUAAGAUGUUGAAACCGAAGCAGUUGAUUCAGUGGGAAUAAGGGAAACAUAGAUAAAUAGGAAAAAACAUUGUUGAUCGCACUCGAUUGAGUCUUGACAAAUUGUGGUAAUCAUUUGUGAUUUGGUUCAUCGUCUUGACCCUUUCUUCCUGAUGUGCAUCUCAUCUUAUGUUUAACCAGACAUCAGUUUUCUCCUUCCCUGCUUCACAAGUUACGUCUCACCUUCAUAACAUGUACCCUAUGUAGUUUUAUAUUCUCUUUCACAUCAAAUUCGUUGGGUUUUGUUUUCGUUAUUUUCUCAUCAGCUCCCUAAUGAUGGGUUCUGUUCUCUUCAAAAUUUAGUGCAUGCCCACUUUAAGAAGACCCAUUCUAAUUUUCGUUCAAUCAGAUUCAUAUCUAAUAAUCCUCGGUAAAGUGACCGGUAGCUCCUACUGUCCAUUUCUUGCUCUUUGUGAAGUGUAAAAUCUUAAUUUUAGUUGGUACGUCACAACCAUAUAUUCCAUCUUUUUCUUUGGCUUCAAAUAUUCGUGCCUUCUUAAGUGACCCCUUUUAUUGAGAAUUUGUUGUUUCCACUGACUUUUUGAGAGAGAUGCUGGGGAAAUUGAUGCAUACUACUGACAUUGAUAUGUGGAGAAAGACUUUGUCAGAUUGAUUUAUUUCUUUAAUGUCUGAAAGACGAACAAUCUGUGAUUCUCAUAGUAUCCAGUGAUCAUCAGCAGAGAGAGAUAAGAAAAGGGUUUAGGCAUGGUUUCUCAAAUAUAAUUUGCGGGAAAGAGUUUGCACGUUGCUGUGACAUUUCUUUGAGGCUUGAGCUGUUAUCACAUCAUUAUAUCGCUGCAUCAUUAUAUCCAUGAAUUUCUGUGAGCACUUUUAGUUUAUCUUUACCACAAAAUAUAUUCCACCCCUCUAAAUUUAAGAGUUAAAUUUUUUUGUAUUUCUGUUCUUUUUUCAUUCAGCCAGGUAACAUCUUGAUGAGAGUUGAAUUAAAAAUAUGUUGUUAUGGUGUUGAGAAAGUUCAAAUGAAAAUCAUUAGCAUUUGACAUCUCCGUCGUUGCAAGAAGGUUUUCCUCCCUGUCAACUUCAUAAGGAAUGAAACUGGCAUUCCCAAAGUUACAGGCCAACAAAUCAUAUUCUCAACCCAACAGAAAUAUUCAACUGCACAAGUGAGAAUCCAAAGCUCAGGCAUUCGAACAGGAAACUACUUGAUGUUUUUCAAAUGGAAUACGGAGCUUAUCUCUGCAGCCAUAUUAGAACUCAAUUCCUAGACACAAGUUUUCCUCCGUCGACUACGAAAGCUUGGAAUAAAAAAUGAGUAACAACUCCUAAUAGGUUUCCGCCUAAACUACUUAUGGUUCACAAAUGUCUUGCAAUUAUAUCGACACUGGACCAUUUGUAUCGGUGUGAUUGGGAUUUUAAGAUGGGUGAAACCUAUCCUUGAAAACCAUAGCAUCCAGUGGUGUGUAUGCCGAAAGUGACAGUCGAGAAUCCUUGUUACAACCACCAAAGUAGUGUUGGCAUUUAUUUCCACCAAGUUAAUCAUUUUUAUUUUAUUUUUGGGAAGGAUCACCAUGUGAAACCAAACAGUUGGGCGAUUGAGAAUGAAAACUAAUCUUCCGUUGUAAUUUUAACUUCCGUUCUUUACAUUCACUUUGUCUUCAUAAGAUUUUACUACUACAUAAGGUCGAUAAACUAAUCAGGUGGACCAGGUAGAAGGUAACUUUAGCCUUGGUGUGUUGCAUAAAAAUAUGGUGCUGGAUCAAGCUGGAGAAAUGGUAGUGGAGUCUUUACACAGAUCGGUUUGGAGUAAGUGGUUGCUUCCUAAAGUAUCUUUUAUAGCAUGUUCAUUUUAUCGACGCUUCAGCAUAUUUAAUCUAUGAUUCCUACGUAAGUGAAAUACAUUGUCAGCUUGCUUCGAUUGUUUGGAAUUUCUUCAUUUAGUCCUUGCCAUUAAACUGGGUGUUGCCGAGGGAUGUUCAAACUCAGUUGGAAGGCUGGAGCUACAUUAAUUUCCAAAAUGGCGGAACUAUUGGUUCAAAGGUUCCGAGUGCAGUAAUUUGGGAGCUAUGGAAAGAACCCAAGGACCCAGUGCUAGAUUCCGUUGGCAGGGAAGCAAGAACAAGGAUUGCCAAUACAGUCGUUUCUUAUGCUCUGUUGCUCUGAUGAAGACUUAUUCAGGGAUACUCAUUUCCGCAAAAAAAAAAAAUCAGUAAGAAACUGUGAUGAUGUAAUCUUUUAUAUUGUAACUGAAUAUAUUAUUUUAUGGAAAUUACAUCCAAAA